AGUGAACGCUGGCGGUAGGCCUAACACAUGCAAGUCGAACGGCAGCACAGUAAAAGCUUGCUCUUACGGGUGGCGAGUGGCGGACGGGUGAGGAAUACAUCGGAAUCUACUUUUUCGUGGGGGAUAACGUAGGGAAACUUACGCUAAUACCGCAUACGACCUACGGGUGAAAGCAGGGGAUCUUCGGACCUUUCGCGAUUGAAUGAGCCGAUGUCGGAUUAGCUAGUUGGCGGGGUAAAGGCCCACCAAGGCGACGAUCCGUAGCUGGUCUGAGAGGAUGAUCAGCCACACUGGAACUGAGACACGGUCCAGACUCCUACGGGAGGCAGCAGUGGGGAAUAUUGGACAAUGGGCGCAAGCCUGAUCCAGCCAUACCGCGUGGGUGAAGAAGGCCUUCGGGUUGUAAAGCCCUUUUGUUGGGAAAGAAAAGCAGCAGGUUAAUACCCCGCUGUUCUGACGGUACCCAAAGAAUAAGCACCGGCUAACUUCGUG
rnacentral:rRNA from 1 species